UACAAAUAUUAACUUUCAUUUCCUGAAGAAAAGAUGAUUUAAAAAGGAGCAAAAUGAAUAAAUGGAUAACAGUAUUAUUAUUCAUAAUAAGCUGCAUUUUACAAGGUAAAUGAAAUGAUUUAGAAAAUUAUCUAGUUUUAUUGAUAUCUUAUUAUAAACAAAUCAAUAUUUAACUUGGAAAAUAAUUUGAAAACAAAUAAAAUUGAAUAAGUUUGAAAAAUAUACAGAUUUUUUUUAUUGAUUUACUGAUAUAAAAAAUUAAAUAGAUUGACAAUUUUGUAUUUGAAUAUAUAACGGUCGAUGUAACUAACUUUUGAAAUUUACUUCAAAAAUACAAUAAAUAAACAUAAGUUUUAAAAUUAACUCUACUGAAAUUGAUCAUGACAUAGUUGUAUUGAUGUUUUGUGAAAAAUAGUCAUGAAAAGUUCGUUACAAGAAAACUUAAUUCCUGUCAGAUAUGAUAUUCUCCAUUGCUCUAAAAUAAGUUUUAUGAAUUUUUUUUAGGGUAGGUUGGGGAAGAGGGGGGGGGGGGGGGGGUUGAAGAUUAAGAUGAGGGGAUGUUCUUAUAUAAUUCAGGUGUAUUAAAAAAACUGCACCAUUAUACAAUAAAAAAAAGAAAAAAAUCAGAAAGAAAAGAAUACAGACCUUUCAUAAAAGUACAUAUUCUCAGCCCUCUAACUUUUAUUACAUGUAAACGAUACAAGUAUACCAUUAUAAUUAGAUGAAAGUUAAAAAUGGGUUAGUUACAUGAUUUACAAUAUUUACAAGUAUGAUGCCUAUGGGGGAAUACUAUCAUAUCUACAAAAAAACACGAAGAAACAUGCCGGUUUAAUUCAGUGUCUGCACGUUGUUCAACAUUGAUCAGCCUGUAAACAAAUAAUAUUCAAAAUCAUUUUAUCAAUUUAACAACUAAUACUGGUCAUCUGAAAAAUACUUACCCCCCCCCCCCCAGGUUGCAUAUUGUUAUGCGUUUACUUUACUACAUUGGUUAGAGGUAUAGGGGGAGGGUUGAGAUCUCACAAACAUGUUUAACCCCGCCGCAUUUUUGCGCCUGUCCCAAGUCAGGAGCCUCUGGCCUUUGUUAGUCUUGUAUUAUUUUAAUUUUAGUUUCUUGUGUACAAUUUGGAAAUUAGUAUGGCGUUCAUUAUCACUGGACUAGUAUAUAUUUGUUUAGGGGCCAGCUGAAGGACGCCUCCGGGUGCGGGAAUUUCUCGCUACAUUGAAGACCUGUUGGUGACCCUCUGCUGUUGUUGUUUUUUUAUUUGGUCGGGUUGUUGUCUCUUUGACACAUUCCCCAUUUCCAUUCUCAAUUUUAUUUGUUGAUAAUUAUUUGAAAAUUGCCUAGUUUUUAUGAUAAUUAUUUGAAAAAUUGCAUCGAGUAAAAAUGAGCGGAUAAUGAAUAGUUGAUCGUGUGCAUAUCUUUCGUGAGUAUGAAUAACCAAAUGCCAAUCAAAGAAUAAAAUGAUCCCAUAAAUUCGAAAAUCCAAUACCAAUACCAUUGUAAAUCUUAAGUUUGUAAGAUAAGCAUCUUAAGUCAUUUUCACUGUGAUAUGACUCAUAAUUUCCAAUGCACACAAUGUAUGCCUUCUGUUGCCGUGUAUAAUAUUUGUUUUUCGUUCAUUAAGGUCUUUCCUUUUCUAUAAGGAAAGACCUUACUGUAUUUCUUCUGAUUAUUAUUAUUAAGGUCUUUCCUUUCUUAAAUGGAAAGACCUUACUGUAUUUCGUUUGUUUAUUAUUAUUAAGGUCUUUCCUUUUACAAAAGGGAAAGACCUUACUGUAUUUCUUCUGUUUAUUAUUAUUAUUAUUAUUAUUAUUAUUCUUUUUCCGCCAAACUUUGACAAAUUUAGCCGCGUUAACCGUAAGACGUGUCGCUUUCAUAUUCACACUUUGUAUCGAUGUCAUGAAUACCUAUCCGGAACUCACCCUGUGAGUCGAAAUAUUUUGUCGGUUCGGAGUAAUCCCUCCGAAACCCAAAAACCUUGUUAUCGUUCCAACACCGUAACCGUAAUAGGUAGAAAAAAAACAAAGGGUGAAAUUUGUUCAGGACCAGACCCCGGUUCUUCGUUACAUUUGGAUCGAAAAGAUUCAACGACUCAUUGGUAGGGUUAUGCCCCUAUGAAAAUUAACCGGUGUCGGUUGGUCACCAAAACUCAGAAACCGUAAGUCGUAGACACCUAGGAUCUUCACCAAUCAUCAUCAAUUCAUGUAUCUUUGAAAAAUACCUCAAGGUCAAAUUUGUAUGUUGACCUUGACCUUUGACCUAACACCUUGUUAUGGGAUAAUCUCAGAAACCAUUAUACUUACAGAAGUUUUAAAUAGUGGAAAAUGUUUGGGUCAUUACGGCGCAACUUUGUUACAUUUUGACCGAAGAGAUUUGACCUUUCUAUAAGGGGCAUAACCCUUGUUUUAGGUUUCUGAAAAGACAAAAUCAGCUUUUACUAUAUAACCAAAGGUCCUAGACCCUUGGGGUCUUCAGUAAUGACAUUGGGGACUAAUGACCUUGACAAAGGUCAAAAGGUCAAAGGUCAAGGUCAUGUCCCAGAUAGCGAAUUUAGUGUUUUUAACCUUAUAUAAAGGAUUUUUAGUGUGUUUUCGAGCGUUUUAAGGUUGACGUUGACCUUUUCAAUACAUUCUACGUCUAUUGGAACAUGUAUUUUACAUUACAAAAGGAAAGACCUCUCAAUUGUUCAAGAACAAUUGACAGUUUAAUUAUUAUUCUUUUUCUUCCGCCGUUUUCAAAGUCAAUCCCCAAGAAAAGUACGCAAGAUAUCAAAAUAAUCUUUAGUACCAAGUAUCGGGUCAAUAAAAGCUAUCUUGUAUUAAGGGCACCGAAGUGUACUAUUUACGUUAUAGGAGUUAUCUCCCCAAUUACAAAAAACACUGUUAUCGCUAUAACUCAUGAACUAUAAGACUUAGCGGCAAAUGUUUUUUUUUGGACCAAAACUUAAAAAUAUAGGUCAAGGUCAAAGGUCAAGGUCAUAUUUUAGAUUUUCAAAAGUUUUUCAUUUCCCUAUAACUAUUGAACGGUUAUAGAUACAGAAAAUUUAAGCAGUGAAAAAUGAAUUGGUACUUUAAGGGGCAACUUUUUUACAUUAUGACUAUAUUGAUUUUACCAUCAUGUAAGGGACAUAACUCCCACUAAUGGUUUUUAAAAAGCCAUUUUUAGGCAAAACUCUUAAACAAAAGGUCCUUGACCCAUAGGGUCUUUUGCAAUGACCUUGUGGAGCAAUGACCUUGACGAAGGUCACAAGGUCAAAGGUCAAGGUCAUCAAAUUAUGUGGUUUUUGGCACUAUUUAAACAGUUUUAUGUGUGUUUGAAUCCAAACCAACCAACCAACCAACCAACCAAUCAAUCAUUCAAUCAAUUAAUCAAUCAAUCAAUCAAUCAAUCAAUCAAUCAAUGUUUCCGUUUAAUGUGUUUCAUAAGGGAUCCAAGGUGGGUUUUUUUUUGCUUGUUUUAAUUGAGCCUAUUAAACGUGUUUAACCAACCAACGUGUUUAACCAGCAUAUUUAACCGACGUGUUUAACCAACCAACCAAUCAAUCAAUCAAUCAUUCAAUACAUGUUUCCGUUUCAUGUGUUUAAUACGGAAUCCAAGGUCUCUUUUUUUCGCUUGUUGCAAGAGACCCUGUAUCAAGUGUUUAACUAAUAAACCAACCAACCAACCAACCAACUAAUCAAUAAAUUUAUCAAUCAAUAUAUAUAUGAUAUAUUUAUUUAUGACAGUAUAAUUAAAAGAAAAUGGAAGGAAAGACCUAUCAAUUAUUCAAGAAGAAUUGAACUUUAAUUAUUAUUAUUAUUCUUCCGCCAAACUUUAACGAAAUUCCCAAAAAAGUACGCGACAUAUUGAAAUGAAUUAGGUAUCUAGUAUCGGUUGACCAAAAGCUAUCUUGUGGUGAGGGCACGACCCCGUAACAUUUCCUUUAUAGGGGUUAUCUCCCCUAACACCGAAAAACUUGUUAUCAUUCUAACUCCAUAACCAUAAUAGGUAGAAAAAAAACAAAGGGUGGAAUUUGUUCAGGAACAGACCCUGGUGCUUCGUUACAUUUGAAUUGAAAAGAUUCAACUACUCAUUGGUAGGGUUAUGCCCCUUUGAAAAUUAACAAAUGUCGGUUGGCCACUAAAACUCAAAAACUGCAAGUUGUAGCCACCUAGGAUCAUCACCAAUGAUUAUCAAUUCACAUGAACAUGAAAAUUGACCUAAGGUCAAAGGUCAAGGUCAUGACCUAGAUUUUGACCUUAGCUUGUUAUCGGAUUUACUAAAUAACCGUAAAAGAUGGCUGAUAAAAUGUAAUGGAGAAAAUAUGUGUCUUGUCGAGAUCUACAUUUGUUAUGUUGGAUUGAAAAUCAUUGGACCAACUGUUAUGGAACUAGGGCACCAAAACUGCUUUUGGGGUCCAAAUGAUGAUUGUUGCUUAUAACUCAAAAGUGGUUAGAGAUAGAAAGAAACUUUGAAUUGCAAAAAUGAUCAGCAUAAUAAGAUCUACAAAGUUAGGUCAAGGUCAGAGGUCAAGUCCCUAGCAACGACAUAAAACACCAUAGCAACCAUAUAUUUUUGAACUUAGAAGGCUAUGAAUAAUUAUAAAUAUGACAUUUUUAUUACUGGAAAUGACAUGUUUGUCCUAGCAACGAAUACAAGUCUUAGCAAUCACUUAUUUUUUUAACUUUAAAUACUAUGAAUAUACAUAUGAUUUUUAAUAACUUAUUUUAAUAUAUUUAUUCUUAGGAAUGAUUUUUGCCCUAAGCACCCACUUAUGAACAUAAAAGUCCUUAGAAACCAUAUAUUUUUUAACUAAGAAGGCAAUUAAUAAAAGAAAAAAGGAAAGACCAUUCAAUUGUUUAUGAACAAUUGACUUUUUAAUUUUUAUGAAAUGUUUUACAUGCGGCCUUUUAUAGCUGACUAUGCGAUAUGGGUUUGGCUCAUUGUUGAUGGUCGUACGGUAAUCUAUAAUAAAAGUUGUUAAUUUGUAAGUCAAUUGAUCUGUUGUGGAGUGUUGUCUAAUUGGCAAACAUACCACAUCUUUUUAUUUCUAAUAUACUGUUCGGAAUUUUCGUGUUUUCGGAUUCAAAGACACACAUUAUCAAUGAUGUGAAGUGUUUAGAAAAUAAAGUUCGAUCCAUCUUUCAGAUACUAUCAAAAUGUGUUCGAAAGGAUUUAUGAAUAAUACCAAUUUUAAAGCGUUCAAUGAAAAGCUCUUUUUAUACAACUUCGUUAUUAUCACACCAAAAAAAAUUAGUCAAUUUCAAUUUUGUGGACUUUUUUUUCGGUAUAAUAUCAUAAAAAUGUGUUGGCCCUCUCGUAAAAUAUUUUAAAUACAAAUAUUUAGACCUAAUGAAAUGUUAUAACUGUUAUGUUCCUAUGGUACAUGCGGAAAAGGGAUCAUACAACUGUUUAUCAUUUAUAUUAUCAAUCAAUUUAGGAUCAGACAAACACAUACAUAUACAUCACUAUAAUAGCUCUCUGUAGCUAACCGCGUUUCAAGAAAUAUGCAUAUGAGUUGGGGCUAAGUUGUACUCUCCUUGUCCGUAUGUAAUGCGUGCUCUGAAGUACAUACUACAUGUUCUUGAUACCUUAAAUUGGAUAAUGAGUUAUUGGUUUGUUUGGCUUGAUAAGACGUGUAACUUCUUGUAAAUUUAGGUAAAAAGGUUGCUAUCUCCGGUGCGGAGUUCAUAUCCGUUCCUUCAAUGCUCCGCUAUACCUAUAUGUCAUAAUCUGCGCAAAGAUUAGAAAUGUUGAGAGCAAAUACCUACUGCAUCUUAAUCGAAAACUUCCAUUGCAAAAGUCAAGCACAAUAAGUUAAGUUCGAAACCAAAAGAAAUUUCCGAUUCUUACAUUCAUAAAUAUUGUUGAAAUUUUUGUUGAUCUUUUAUCAAAAUAAAGAGAUUGUUACACCAGGUCUUAAGACGUAAUUUAAAAUUCUGUCAUAUUUUUAUAAGCAUUGACCUUUGAGUUUGCGACAUAAUGUUAUUAUUCAUCGAAACUAGGGUCAAGAUGGUCUUACUGACCAAGCUGUUUUUAUUAGUAAAAAAUAUUGCGUAAUACGUCAUUAUCAUAUUGUUUCACAACCUAAUCGGUAACCUCAAAGUUCACUGAAAUUAUCUCCAAAAUUAUUAUAAUGUGACAUUACAAGUACGCAUUUUGUACAUAAUCUUAUCGAUUAAAAGUACAUUUUUGUAAAAAUGUUUAUAGAGGAAACUUAUAUAUAAACUAAUACGUAAAAAUGUAUAAGCGUUAAAAUAUUAGCAAAUACAAAAGUCAUCUCUAUAUUAAGGAUAAUAUAAGUUUAAGAAAAAUAAUUAGCGUUAGUAGCUUCUCUUUUCAUUACAACAGUGAACAUAACAAAAUAAUACUAUAAUCCGCCAUAUUAAACCAUUGAACUCAUAGUUUCUAUUUUGGAGGCUCAGCUUUUAUAAAGCAAUGUUUAGAAAAAGACAAUGAUUCUUAGUAAACAAAAUAUAUAAGAAAAAGAUUGAAUUAACGGAAAAAAAUAUGAAAUCUGUAUAUGAAUAUAUUUCUUAAAAUAAAUCGUUGUUUCAAUUCAUCAGCUCACUGAUUAAUAUUUCGAACCUUGUCUUCUUCCCAUUUCACGUUUAAUCUUCAAUCCAAGGAUCGAGAUCGUAAUGUUAAGCUUUUCCGCUAAGCGGAGCGACAUUUAAAAUGAUAGACAACGCCUGGUCAGGAUUGAAUCCUGCAGACUGUUACCUUGUGAUCUAGCACGUUACAAAUUCGGCUCCGGGUCUCGGUCUUGUACAAUGACUAGCAUGGUUAAAACGCACAGUACAUUGAAACAUGUUAUCUUCCUUAAUAUGCUUAUUAAUUUGUCGCUGGACGUUGAGCAUCCAUCCAUCAUCAUCUUUCAUGUUUUUUCACCCGAAACCGGUUCAUGUCCUCGUAAUUUGAUCGAAUAAAGUCAAAGAAAUUGUAGAAAAUACCGAUGUGUAUCAGAUAAGACUAUUUGUUAUAAAGGUCAUUAAGAAAUUGUAAUCAAAUAAAUAAACAUUAGGAUUUCAUAAAUACAUGUUCUUUACGUAUUUAGUAACCAAAACACCUGUGAUUGAUUCUUUGAUUAAAUUCUUUAAAACCUUAUCAAAAUAUUUUUCUUCAAUAAAUGAUAUUCAUAUUCAAUGUCUAUAUACCUUCCAUUAAAUAUCACAAUGCAUUUAAAUAUCCUAAUAUACUAAAUACUUUAUUUUUCUUUAUUAAGUUGCUUCAUAGUACUACAUGUAUAUAUACAUCAGCCACCGAUGAUGGCAUAUGACACCACACAUGUAUCCUUCUGGAGCACCUGAUAUAACGGCCGGUUUUGUUGGGGUUCGUGUUGCUUAGUCUUUGGCUUUAUCCAUCGUGGAAUCCAGCAUAUUUGUGUCAGGGAUAACAACUAAAACGGAUAGAGAACAAUUUGUGACUGAAUUUCAAUGGUCCAUGUAGUUUUUGUUUUCGUUUUACUAUACUUUUCUUAAUUCUUUUUUAAUCUGUGAAUACCUAUGGGUACUCUGGUUCCCAAUCAACACAAACUACAUGAUCGCCACGAAAAAAACAAUGGUGCUGUAAAUGGCGUCAAAGACUGACCAUAGAAUAUAUUACAUUAAACCGUUUUAAGUAACAACAAAUAGAAAACAAAAAUAAUAUCGCAAUGUUGUAAAUGAGAACAUUGUCCUUGUUAUAUGUUAAAAAAGAAGAUUUUAGGAGGGGGAAAACUAGCUUCCCCUACAAUCCAAUAAAAAGGGGAGCUUUACAACACUGUCCCAAGUUAAGGAGAGGUUAGCGCCUUAGAAGUAGAUUCGUAUUCAAUAUAAUAUAUGUCCUGCCCCCUUAACAGUUUUGGAAGAAUAUUAAGAAAUACUGUAAAAGCCUGCGUAUAUUUCUGAGUUUUUCCUUCUGCACCUGUCACAUAAAAAUAAAAAUACAAAGAAAUUACCCGCAAUGUAAUAUUCUGGAAGUUUAAUGCGUGACAAUGGGAAUGUUUAAAAGGUUUAUCACAAUAAUUCACUCAAGUUCAAUAAAACAGAUCUUGUUCCGAUCUUUCAUACGUGUUUUCCUAAAGAUAGUUAGGCAUUUCCGAAUCAUGGAAAUUUAUGAAUAACAGUGCAUUACACUUUAAUAUAAUAUUUUUAUAUAUUUUAAUAAGCAGUAAAAUUAAACAAACAUUUAUUUUUCAUUUCAAACAUGUUAAGAAUUAUGAGAGUACAACCAUAAAACUGUUGUACAAUUGUGUAGUGUUUUUAUUCGUUUUUACUUAAGUCAAAGGCUCAAAAUAUAAUUAUUAAUAUUGCUUUCGGCCGCAAGUUAUUGACCUCAAAUUUAUAAAACAAUCCUUGUUACAUUUGUUUGUAGCUUUGAGAAAUUGGAAUAAAUGUGUGAAUUGGUUGUGUAAAUACUUCGUGAAGUUUUGAAUUGGUUGAAUAUUUGCGUCCUUUGUCACUUAAGUUAUUUGUAUAACCAAAUAUCCAUAAUAUUUAAAAAAAAAAAAAAAUUAUUAACGCCAAAAGUAAUUACUGAAAAGCAUUUGCAAUUUUCGGCACGAUCAACACAUCCCGAGUUUAGGCGAGUUGUGAAAUAAUUCUCCAAAAACAAGUAAAAAUUUCAUAUCAUAAUACCUUCAAAACUACGAAACCUUCCCAUUUACCUUUGUCUGUGUUAAGAAACAAAAAAAAAUACUAAACUGCUAAAAAAAUCAGGGAUUAUGAAGGCAUUAUAUCAAAUAAAAUUGAAAAUGGAAAUGGGGAAUGUGUCAAAGAGACAACAACCCCACCAAAGAACAGACAACAGCAGAAGGUCACCAACAGGUAUAUCAAAGUCCAUCUAUUUCAAAUAAUUUGAUAAACAGCAGGAGUAUAUUAGGGGAUAACAACGGAUUUGACCACCGGCCUCCAUCCUGAACUAUCGUUGGGCCCCAAAAUGGACAUUAUGUGCUCGAAGUUCCUUGAAUCAUGCAAUAUAGCCAACGACGUAAAAAAAAACAGAGCAUGAGACAUUUGUAAUAUACAUUUUGUUGUAUUUAUGAAACAAAUUCCCAUAAAGGAAACCAAGAAGAAACAAUAUGUUGAUCAACAGUAACUCAUUACUUUAAGAAAUUGUAAAAUAAUAUAGUUCGCAUUUUGCUUUAAAAAAAAAAGACAAGUACUGUUACUGAAUUCUUUAAUGACACUUAUUGAUAGACACAAAAGAUGAAAGAAAAACAAAUCACAAAACCAAACAGUUAUUUUGUUAGCAUAUUUUGUAUGCAUUAAACAAUAAUUUGAAGAAACCUUAUUUAUUGUUAACACAACGGAUGAAAAAUAAAUAAAUCACAAUAACAAAGGAGAAAUUUUGUUGAGCAUGAACUUUAUUCCUCAACAAUAGUUUGAAGAAGCCUUAUUUGGUAUACAAUUCAAACUAAAACUACUUAUAAGAAGUAUAUGAAUUAUGACGUCUAGUUAAUAUUUGAAGUUUAAAAAUUAAUUGAAAAAUAUUGAAAUCAUUAAAUUGUAUGAAUUUUUCAACUCAAGGGAUUAUUUAUUUAAUUGCAUAUAGACCAUAGACAUUGACCUGUUAGACCCUCUUGAAAAUAGAGUAGCAUUAAAUACUUCUCAAGUACAAUGUACAUGAUUGUCGUUAUUAUGGAAUCACUUCUAAAGAAAAGGAAGAAGUCAUAACAAACUGUCAGAUUUAAAAGACAAACAUUGAAGUAAAUGUGAAAUAUUUGCAUGCACCAAGAGAGUUAACCAUGGAUUAGAAAUAGGUCCCACUUUCUCUGUUGAAAGAGUACUACUCUGCUGGAAUAGUGGUCCCCUCGUAUGUCUGUAAGGGGUGUAAUACUACGCAGUGACGUCUUGUCAGUAAAGGUGCGCAUAAUUUACGUUUAGUAGAUAAAUAACAACUCUGUUGUUUCUGUAGACAUGUUACGAGGAUUAAACUGUUGUCCCUAUCAAAUAUGUCAUCAUUUGUCGUCCGGUCGUCCCAUUUGGCAGAUGCAAACUAUAAGAUGGUCAGUUUGAUAAUUGUUCUAAUCUUGAAUACGCAUGAAAUAUUUGCAACUGGACGUAAAGUAAAUACAGUCAUUCAAUUAAUUUCUGACCUGGAAAUAGGCUGAACAUUUACUGAAAACUUUUUUAUAGGUUUAAACAUUCAAAAUAUGCAUAUUAAAUCGGUUUGUAAAUCAAUCAAGAGGUCACAACAUGCAUCUUUCUCAUAUCUGUACCCGCUUUUCUUGACUCUUUUUACACUUUCUAUUUUAAUUAUAUUCGAACGAAUGUAUGAACAGAGCAAUUAUGUCCCCUUGCGACUGGAAAGAUCUAAUGUGUUUUACAACUUCCUAACUUUUGUUUAUCUAAAUAUGAUGUUAAUUACUGUUACUUUAUACAGUGGAGAUUACUUCUAACCUCUCAUUAGAACUGUCAGAAUAAUCUGUCAUAGAACUGUUCUAAACUGUCCUAGAACAGUACUACCUAGAACUGUUCUAAGUAGAACUGUCAGAAUCAGUUCUAGGUAGAACUGACCAAAUAUGUUCUAAUAAGAACUGUCAGGAUCAGUUCUAGGGUAGAACUGUCUAAAACUGUUCUAGGUAGAACUGUCCAAAUCAGUUCUAGUCUUAGAACUGUCAACAGAACUGACCAAAUCAGUUCUAACCGUAGAACUAUCAGCAGAACUGACUAAGUCAGUUCUAACCGUAGAACUGUCAGAAUUUUAGAACAGGUCUUAAUGACGUCACUGCAGUUAAAGAAAUGUUAAAACAGUGCUGUGAUGAGAAUGUUUUAAUGUAUAUUAUAUUCUUUUGACUUAUUUAUAUUUAAGACAAAGAGUUCUUAAAACUUUUCUAUUGAUAGAACUGACUAAAUCAAUUCUAGUCGUAGAACUGACCAAAUGAGUUCUAAUCGUAGAACAACUGUUCUAGUGUGUUCUAGGGUAGAACUAUCAGGAUCAUUUCUGGGUAGAACUGUCUAAAUCAGUUCUACAUGCAGGUAGAACUGACCAAAUCAGUUCUAGGUUAGAACUGUUCUAGCUAGGUGUCAGGAUGACAGUUCCACAUACUGUCCUAGAACAGUUCUCCUGACAGAUUCUGACAGUUUUGAUGAGAGGUUAGAAGUGAUCUCUACUGAACCUUCUUUUUUUAUUUGAUAAUUAUUGGUCGAUUUUUUACUAUUGUCCAACAAUUUGACGGCUUCAUCUGUAUAUACAUUUUCCCGAACAAAGAACUAUUAUAUACAUAAUUUACAAAAUGAUUGUAAUUGAUGAGUUUUUGGUAUAUUAAAGAUAACUCGAACGUCUCCGAUCCCCUUUCCUCUAAUUCUACACCCCUUCCUGUCCCGCGUGCGCACACAUUCACACACACCGCUUACAUGUGUCUUGUUAUCUUUGUAACGUAUCGAUAAAUAUUGUAUGAUUUUUAUCUAUAAAUGGACUUAAAAAAUCGUGUUUGUCCUUUUUUUAUGGUAUUUAUAUUUCUCCUUGUCAUUUAAUUGCUGAUUUUUCUUCACAACGUAGAUUGAUAAGGGAUUAUGUUCAUGAAAUAUCAUAUUAAUUUAACAAAAGGCAAAUAGUAACAAUAAAUAACUUUAACAUGAUUGCGUUUCCGGAUAAUCUAUAAGCCAGUGGCUAUUCAAACAGGAUACAAUAAAGUAAAGGGUAUUGACAUUGUUUGACCUUCAGAUGACGUUUAAAAAUAAAGAAAUACACAAAUCACCUUUUAAUGAAUGUAGUUUCCUUUUAUAUAAACUUCGAUAUUUGUUUUGUUUUGUAAACUACAAUCCCCUUCCCUUUUAACGAAUAUGACCUACUGAAUUAGACUGUUUACCGGGUUUGUAAUAACAUGAACAACACGACAGGUGCCAGUGGAGCAGGAUCUGCUUACCCUUCCGGAGCACCUGAGCCCAUCCCCAGUUUUUGGUGGGGUUUGUGUUGCUUAAUCUUUAGUUUUCUAUGUUAUGUCUUGUGUACUAUUAUUUGUCAGUUUGUCUUUCUAAUAUUUAGCCAUUGCGUUGUCAGUUUAUUUUCGAUCUACGAGUUUGAUUCUGGUAUCUCUCGCCCCUCUUUUCGUGUAUAAUUGAUCUGUCGUCUGACGGGUGACGGAUCAACAGCAGGAAGUACCUGACCUGACGUCAUUUACUACGACUAGUUUGUUUUUUUUUGUGUAUACGUAAUAUGUGUACAUGUCUUUCUGUAUCUCGGUUCAUUUGUGAAAUUUUAUGGACAUAUUUGUAUGUACCAUCUUCAUAUUUUCUAUUCAACCAGGUUGCCAGCUGGAUUGUCAAAAUUUAGUGUAAAAUCAUAGUACAACAUGUACAAUACGGCCCCGAAUUAUUAAACGUCAUUCUAUUCUUACAUUUUUUCAUAUUUCUUAAACAUUUUUUUUUAAAUAUUUUGAUUGCAAAUAAAUAAAUGUUUUGUUAAAAAUCCAUCAUGAAAAAGCUGUAGAGAAAUAAAAGAACUAGAUAAUAUUGAUUAUAUAUAUAGUAACUUCUGAGACAUAUUCCAUUCUACACCUUUUUAAAGGUAUUUAAUAAAAAAAAAAAAAAACUCUUUUACACCCUUGAAAAUUCCUAGAAUUCAAUUCUCCCCUUUCCAUUAGAUAAGUUACUGUUACAGUAAUGAUUGAUUACAAAUGAACAGUUAUUUUUACCAUUCUACCUUCAGGAAAAACAGUGUUGUCAGCCUGCACCGGAAGUGGGUUUCCAGCAGAAUGGACAACAGCCACAGCAGGCGUCACUUAUUGGUUCGUUACAGAAGCAAUAAAACG
rnacentral:lncRNA from 1 species